rnacentral:rRNA from 1 species
AUACGGAGGGUGCAAGCGUUGUCCGGAUUUAUUGGGUUUAAAGGGUGUGUAGGCGGUGUAUUAAGUCAGUGGUGAUAGCCUGCGGCUCAACCGUAGAACUGCCAUUGAUACUGACACACUUGAGUAUGGACGAGGUAGGCGGAAUUUAUGGUGUAGCGGUGAAAUGCAUAGAUACCAUAAAGAACACCGAUAGCGAAGGCAGCUUACUAGGCCAUAACUGACGCUGAGGCACGAAAGCGUGGGGAGCGAACAGGAUUAGAAACCCCAGUAGUCC